rnacentral:hammerhead_ribozyme from 1 species
AGCUGGCAGACGAGUCUCAAAUAGGACGAAAUACGCAUCCUGGAU